rnacentral:rRNA from 1 species
AUACGGAGGGGGCAAGCGUUGUUCGGAAUUACUGGGCGUAAAGCGUACGUAGGCGGAUCGUUAAGUUAGAGGUGAAAUCCCAGGGCUCAACCCUGGAACUGCCUUUAAUACUGGCGAUCUAGAGAUCGAGAGAGGUGAGUGGAAUUUCCAGUGUAGAGGUGAAAUUCGUAGAUAUUGGAAAGAACACCAGUGGCGAAGGCGGCUCACUGGCUCGAUACUGACGCUGAGGUACGAAAGCGUGGGGAGCAAACAGGAUUAGAAACCCUAGUAGUCC